GACGAACGCUGGCGGCGUGCUUAACACAUGCAAGUCGAACGGAAAGGCCCUGCUUUUGUGGGGUGCUCGAGUGGCGAACGGGUGAGUAACACGUGAGUAACCUGCCCUUUACUUUUGGAUAACUUCAGGAAACUGGGGCUAAUACCGGAUAGGAGCUCCUGCUGCAUGGUGGGGGUUGGAAAGUUUCGGCGGUUGGGGAUGGACUCGCGGCUUAUCAGCUUGUUGGUGGGGUAGUGGCUUACCAAGGCUUUGACGGGUAGCCGGCCUGAGAGGGUGACCGGCCACAGUGGGACUGAGAUACGGCCCAGACUCAUAAGGGAGGCAGCAGUGGGGAAUAUUGCAAAAUGGGCGGAAGCCUGAUGCAGCAACGCCGCGUGCGGGAUGACGGACUUCGGGUUGUAAACCGCUUUCGCCUGUGACGAAGCGUGAGUGACGGUAAUGGGUAAAGAAGCACCGGCUAACUACGUG
rnacentral:rRNA from 1 species